rnacentral:rRNA from 1 species
CCUACGGGAGGCAGCAGUGGGGAAUAUUGGGCAAUGGGCGCAAGCCUGACCCAGCAACGCCGCGUGAAGGAAGAAGGCUUUCGGGUUGUAAACUUCUUUUCUGAGGGACGAAGAACGUGACGGUCCCUCAGGAAUAAGCCACGGCUACCUCCGUGCCCGCAGCCGCGGUACUACGUAGGUGGCAAGCGUUCUCCGGAUUUAUUGGGUGUAAAGGGCGUGUAGGCGGGAAAGCAAGUCAGAUGUGAAAACUCGGGGCUCAACCCUGAGCCUGCAUUUGAAACUGUUUUUCUGGAGUGCUGGAGAGGCAAGCGGAAUUCCGGGUGUAGCGGUGAAAUGCGUAGAUAUAAGGAGGAACACCAGUGGCGAAGGCGGAUUGCUGGACAGUAACUGACGCUGAGGCGCGAAAGCGUGGGGAGCAAACAGGAUUAGAUACCCUUGUAGUC